rnacentral:rRNA from 1 species
AUUGAACGCUGGCGGCAGGCCUAACACAUGCAAGUCGAACGGUAACAGGAAGCAGCUUGCUGCUUCGCUGACGAGUGGCGGACGGGUGAGUAAUGUCUGGGAAGCUGCCUGAUGGAGGGGGAUAACUACUGGAAACGGUAGCUAAUACCGCAUAAUGUCGCAAGACCAAAGAGGGGGACCUUCGGGCCCCUUGCCAUCGGAUGUGCCCAGAUGGGAUUAGCUUGUUGGUGGGGUAACGGCUCACCAAGGCGACGAUCCCUAGCUGGUCUGAGAGGAUGACCAGCCACACUGGAACUGAGACACGGUCCAGACUCCUACGGGAGGCAGCAGUGGGGAAUAUUGCACAAUGGGCGCAAGCCUGAUGCAGCCAUGCCGCGUGUAUGAAGAAGGCCUUCGGGUUGUAAAGUACUUUCAGCGGGGAGGAAGGGAGUAAAGUUAAUACCUUUGCUCAUUGACGUUACCCGCAGAAGAAGCACCGGCUAAUUCCGUG